AUUGAACGCUGGCGGCAUGCUUUACACAUGCAAGUCGAACGGUAACAGGCCGCAAGGUGCUGACGAGUGGCGAACGGGUGAGUAAUGCAUCGGAACGUGCCCAGUCGUGGGGGAUAACUACUCGAAAGAGUAGCUAAUACCGCAUACGAUCUAUGGAUGAAAGCGGGGGACCGUAAGGCCUCGCGCGAUUGGAGCGGCCGAUGUCAGAUUAGGUAGUUCGUGGGGUAAAGGCUCACCAAGCCAACGAUCUGUAGCUGGUCUGAGAGGACGACCAGCCACACUGGGACUGAGACACGGCCCAGACUCCUACGGGAGGCAGCAGUGGGGAAUUUUGGACAAUGGGCGCAAGCCUGAUCCAGCAAUGCCACGUGCAGGAAGAAGGCCUUCGGGUUGUAAACUGCUUUUGUACGGAACGAAACGGCUCUGGUUAAUACCCGGGGCUAAUGACGGUACCGUAAGAAUAAGCACCGGCUAACUACGUG
rnacentral:rRNA from 1 species